GGCACCACCAUAAAGUGGAGCCUGCGGGUUAAUUUGACUCAACAGCUAACAAACUCACCCGGCCCGGACACCGUGAGGAUUGACAGAUUGAAAGCUCUUUCUUGAUUCGGUGCAUGGUGGUGCAUGGCCGUUCUUAGUUCAUGGAGGAUUUGUCUGGUUUAUUCCUAUAACUUCCUCAGACUCUGACUUACUAAAUAUCCUUGUUUUUAUUGCUGAAACCUGACUUCUUAGAGGGAUUUUCGGUGUCCAGCCACACAAAAAUGAACAAUAACAGGUCUGAGAUGCCCUUAGAUGUCCGGGGCUGCAAAGGCGCUAAACUGGAAAAAUCACCGGGCUUCUCCUAUCUCGAAUAAGAUCCGCCCCCCUAAGAAAAUUUGCCGUGAUUGGGAUCAGAAAUUACAAUUAUUUUCCGUGAACGACUAUUUCCAUGCCAGUGCGAGUCAUCUGCUCGCGUUGAUUAGCGCUCUGCCCUUUGUACCCUGCCGCUGUCGCUGCCCGGUACUGAUCCAUUCUCUAGAA
rnacentral:rRNA from 1 species